UAGGGAAUAUUGGACAAUGGGUGCAAGCCUGAUCCAGCCAUGCCGCGUGCAGGAAGAAGGCCUUCUGGGUUGUAAACUGCUUUUGCCAGGGGAUAAAAAGGCGAUGCGUCGCAAAUUGAAGGUACCUGGUGAAUAAGCCACGGCUAACUACGUGCCAGCAGCCGCGGUAAUACGUAGGUGGCAAGCGUUGUCCGGAUUUAUUGGGUUUAAAGGGUGCGUAGGUGGUCUAUUAAGUCAGUGCUGAAAUAUCCCGGCUUAACCGGGAGGGUGGCAUUGAUACUGAUGGACUUGAGUAGAGUUGAGGUAGGCGGAAUUGACGGUGUAGCGGUGAAAUGCUUAGAUAUCGUCAAGAACACCGAUAGCGAAGGCAGCUUACUAAGCUCUUACUGACACUGAUGCACGAAAGUGUGGGGAUCAAACAGG
rnacentral:rRNA from 1 species